rnacentral:rRNA from 1 species
GAUGAACGCUAGCUACAGGCUUAACACAUGCAAGUCGAGGGGAAACGAUGAGAGAGCUUGCUCUCUUAGGCGUCGACCGGCGCACGGGUGAGUAACGCGUAUCCAACCUACCCAUUACAGGGGGAUAACCUUGCGAAAGUAAGACUAAUACCCCAUGGCAUUUUAUGGUGGCAUCAUUAUAGGAUUAAAGAUUUAUUGGUAAUGGAUGGGGAUGCGUCUGAUUAGCUUGUUGGCGGGGUAACGGCCCACCAAGGCAACGAUCAGUAGGGGUUCUGAGAGGAAGGUCCCCCACAUUGGAACUGAGACACGGUCCAAACUCCUACGGGAGGCAGCAGUGAGGAAUAUUGGUCAAUGGUCGAGAGCUUGAACCAGCCAAGUAGCGUGCAGGAUGACGGCCCUAUGGGUUGUAAACUGCUUUCAUAGGGGAAUAAAGUGAGCUACGUGUAGUUUAUUGCAUGUACCCUAUGAAUAAGGACCGGCUAAUUCCGUG